AUUUGCUGCCACCACUUGGGUCGUAUUUAUAAAUAUGACCCAAGUGGUGGCAACAAAUU
rnacentral:miRNA from 1 species